rnacentral:rRNA from 1 species
AGGGAUCAUUAAUGAGAACUUGCCCUAACGGGUAGAUCUCCCACCCUUUGUUAACCAAACAUUGUUGCUUUGUCUGGCCCGACCCUCGGGUCCGCCGGCCUUCGGGCUGGUCAGCGCCGGACAGAGGAAACUAAAACCUUUAUCACUGUCGUCAGAGUACUAUAUAAUAGUUAAAACUUUCAACAACGGAUCUCUUGGUUCUGGCAUCGAUGAAGAACGCAGCGAAAUGCGAUAAGUAAUGUGAAUUGCAGAAUUCAGUGAAUCAUCGAAUCUUUGAACGCACAUUGCGCCCUCUGGUAUUCCGGGGGGCAUGCCUGUUCGAGCGUCAUUACAACCCUCAAGCUCUGCUUGGUAUUGGGUCAGCCCCUAGGGGCUUUCCUCAAAUUCAGUGGCGGCGUCCAUUGGGCUUCAAGCGUAGUAAUUCUUCUCGCUUCGGAGUUCCGGUGGGAGCUUGCCAGCAACCCCAAACUUUCUAUGGUUGACCUCGGAUCAGGUAGGGAUACCCGCUGAACUUAAGCAUAUCAAUAAGCGGAGGAAAAGAAACCAACAGGGAUUACCUCAGUAACGGCGAGUGAAGCGGUAACAGCUCAAAUUUGAAAUCUGGCCGCAAGGUCCGAGUUGUAAUUUGUAGAGGAAACUUCGGGCGCGGUCCGGUCUAAGUUCAUUGGAACAUGACGUCAUAGAGGGUGAGAAUCCCGUAUGUGACUGGGUGCCGCUGUCCAUGUGAAGCUCCUUCGACGAGUCGAGUUGUUUGGGAAUGCAGCUCUAAAUGGGUGGUAUAUUUCAUCUAAAGCUAAAUAUUGGCCAGAGACCGAUAGCGCACAAGUAGAGUGAUCGAAAGAUGAAAAGCACUUUGGAAAGAGAGUUAAACAGUACGUGAAAUUGUUGAAAGGGAAGCGCUUGCAACCAGACUUGCGCCCUAGUAAUCAUCCGGUGUUCUCACCGGUGCACUUGCUAGGGCUCAGGCCAGCAUCGGUUUUGGCGGUUGGAUAAAGGCAUUGGGAAUGUAGCUUCCUUCGGGGAGUGUUAUAGCCCUUUGUGCAAUGCAGCCCGUUGGGACCGAGGACCGCGCUUCGGCUAGGAUGCUGGCGUAAUGGUUGUAAGCGACC